AGUUCUGGGAAAGUCCCUCCAAGCAGGAAGUGAGCUUCUUCAACGUACAGAACAGACUUUACUCGAGUAAUUUGGCUUUUACUAAUAUCCUGCAAUCAUGGGAUGAUUUCGUGUUUUUACCAUGCUUGUUAUCAUGCAGCCCGCUCAUCAACACAAUGGUGAUUAACGUUUCUCAGGCUGUGAAUUCAGUUCAUACCUCGUCUGUCGAUCAAUCAGGUUCAGUGAGUCAGUCAGCUUCUGUAUUGUUGUAUGUGUCAACCAUUCAAGAUGUCAAAGGGCACUCGUAACAAGACUUGCUACAUUGUUCAAGACUAAAGGCUUCCUGUGAUGUCACGACUAGUGAAGGGGUUCUCCAAUCCCGGCAUAGCCUCCACAUCACAAGAAGGCCAGGAGGGAGUAGAAAGGAACACACUGUAUGUUACUCUGUUAAGUAGUGAAUGGAGAUCGUCAAUCGAUGGAGACUUGUCAACCGUCAACAGAGAACUAGCAAUACAGUUGGCUAAACACUCCAGUUUGCAAGUUAGUGUGUUUCUCCCUCAGUGCAGUGAAGAUGACAAGAGAAUUGCUGCUAGUCACAA